rnacentral:rRNA from 1 species
UACGUAGGGUCCGAGCGUUGUCCGGAAUUAUUGGGCGUAAAGGGCUCGUAGGCGGUCUGUCGCGUCGGGAGUGAAAACUCAGGGCUCAACCCUGAGCGUGCUUCCGAUACGGGCAGACUAGAGGUAUGCAGGGGAGAACGGAAUUCCUGGUGUAGCGGUGGAAUGCGCAGAUAUCAGGAGGAACACCGGUGGCGAAGGCGGCAUCCUGGACCAACACUGACGCUGAGGAGCGAAAGCCAGGGGAGCAAACGGG